rnacentral:lncRNA from 1 species
AUGGUGGGCCGCCCUCUUCCCUCCUUCCCCUCCCCGCCGCGCUGGCUCCGGGGGCAGCCGCCCCUCCGGACCCACCCGGGCCCGCCCGGGAGCCGCCGCCAGGCCCCGGGACGAGCCGAGCCGGGCCGGGCCGGGCCGGGCCCCGCGGCUUCCCGGGGGCCGCCCGCAGCGCCCUUACCUGCGCCGGCCUCACAUGGCCGGGCCGGGGCCAGCAGCACCGCGCCCCCCCGGCUCCCCCGGCGCCGCCGGUGUCGCUGCCCCCCGCUGCCCGGGCCGAGGCGUCGUUGCUCGCCCCGGGCCCGCAGUCUUUAUUUUUGCACGCCUGAACCCUUCCGCUCCCUCCUCCCCCCACCCCCACCAGGCAGCCAGGGUUUUAAGGACAGCACCGGGUGCCAGAAGAGGUGUCCUCGCAGCUUGGGGCAGGGUUCAGACCUCAGAGAUCUCGACAUCGUGUCCUGGAUUGUCAGAUUAAGGUGCUGCCAAGAAACUUUAAACAGAUUGACAAGUCUUCAGAUUCACCAUCAGAGACAAAGUCUGCUAUUAGAGGCAUGAGGUUACUGAAAGCAAAUCAUCCUGGUCCCUUCACCAGUUCAACCAUCAGUCUUGGCGAAAA